rnacentral:rRNA from 1 species
GACGAACGCUGGCGGCGUGCCUAACACAUGCAAGUCGAACGGAGUGUUUAUUUAUAAACACUUAGUGGCGAACGGGUGAGUAACGCGUAGACAACCUACCCUCUAGAUGGGGACAACACCGCGAAAGUGGUGCUAAUACCGAAUGUUGUAAUGUUGUUGCAUAAUGAUAUUACUAAAGGUGGCCUCUAUAUAAAAGCUACCGCUAGAAGAUGGGUCUGCGUCUGAUUAGCUAGUUGGUGAGAUAACAGCUCACCAAGGCAAUGAUCAGUAGCCGGUCUGAGAGGAUGAACGGCGACACUGGGACUGAGACACGGCCCAGACUCCUACGGGAGGCAGCAGUGGGGAAUCUUCCGCAAUGGACGAAAGUCUGACGGAGCAACGCCGCGUGAGUGAAGAAGGUUUUCGGAUCGUAAAGCUCUGUCUUCAAGGACGAAUGUAGAUAUUGUGAAUAAUGAUAUUUAAUGACGGUACUUGAGGAGGAAGCCACGGCUAACUACGUGCCAGCAGCCGCAGUAA